rnacentral:rRNA from 1 species
AUGUACAUUCCUACAAUGCUAAUGCAAUAGAUCUCGUCACAACUCCACAGUUAAGCAUGCUUAGGAUAGAGUAGUAUUGGGAUGGGUGACCUCCUAGGAAGUCCUAGUGUUUUACAUG